rnacentral:rRNA from 1 species
UUGACCUCAAAUCAGGUAGGACUACCCGCUGAACUUAAGCAUAUCAAUAAGCGGAGGAAAAGAAACUAACAAGGAUUCCCCUAGUAACUGCGAGUGAAGCGGGAAAAGCUCAAAUUUAAAAUCUGGCGGUCCCUGUGGCCGUCCGAGUUGUAAUUUAGAGAAGUGYUAUCCGCGCUGGACCGUGUACAAGUCUCCUGGAAUGGAGCGUCAUAGAGGGUGAGAAUCCCGUCUUUGACACGGACUGCCAGGGCAUUGCGAUACGCUCUCAAAGAGUCGAGUUGUUUGGGAAUGCAGCUCAAAAUGGGUGGUAAAUUCCAUCUAAAGCUAAAUAUUGGGGAGAGACCGAUAGCGAACAAGUACCGUGAGGGAAAGAUGAAAAGAACUUUGGAAAGAGAGUUAAACAGUACGUGAAAUUGCUGAAAGGGAAACGCUUGAAGUCAGUCGCGUCGCUCAGGACUCAGCCUUGCUUUUGCUUGGUGUACUUCCUGUUCGAUGGGUCAGCAUCAAUUUUGGUCGGUGGAUAAAGGCUURGAGAAUGUGGCAUCUUCGGGUGUGUUAUAGCUCUGGGUUGUAUACAUCGGCUGGGAUUGAGGAACUCAGCACGCCGCAAGGCCGGGUACUUGUACCACGUACGUGCUUAGGAUGCUGGCAUAAUGGCUUUAAUCGACCCGUC